UCGACGACGCCAUUGUUUUCGGCGCGGGAUGCUGCGGAACGCAGCGCGUGCGAGGUUCACGCCGACGCCCGGCGUCGCGACGCCACUCUCGCACGCAACGCCGUCGCCGGCCGUCGCCCGUCGUCCGCCCGUCUCUUUCUCUAUCUACCUCCGCCGAGCUGUUCCACCAGGAUUUUUCACGUCGACGAGGCUUCGGCGCCCGGCGACGCGGAUCUCGCGAAGAGCAAGUGCAUCUCUUUGCGGCGAACGGGGCGCCCGACAUCGCGGUGUAAUCAGACACCGGCGCGAGAAGGAAGACGCGGAAGGGAGGAAAGCAGAGACGUAAAUGUAAUUGGAAACAUCCGAGAGGGAGAUUCGCCUCGUUUCUGAUCCGUGCCGCGCGGCUUGCCUGCUUCCAUUCUUCCCUCGGACCGUCCGUCGCGAUGCAAACGCCAUGCCGUCGCUUUUUCUCGCGUUCAUCUGCGAACAUUCGCGAGAAAUGCGUAUCGUUUUCGGGGCAGAUUGUCUUCUUUUGAAAUUGCCGACUAUUAAAUAUAAAAGGCUCUCGUAAUAGUAAAGAUCGACGCUAGAGAUUCAAUUAUCACCGAUCGUGAUUAAAGGGACGCGAAUGCGGUACAGCUCUAUAAUUACGCAAUUUUUCAGAUAUCGAUAGUACGUUCUUCUUCACGCGACUUCAAAGAUAUAUUUACGCGAGAGUCUCACGACGUACGCAUGGCUAAGGGAGAAAAGCGCUUUCUUUGUGACGACGUUUACCAUUACGUACGUGCAGCUUUGUAAAUGGCAGGGCGCGCGCGCCACGCAUGAUUAAGCAGAGCCCGACGAUAAUGCGCUGCGUGCGGCUCUUCGGCGUAAAGAAGGUGUAAAUACCUCCCGAUGAUUCCUCGUCCAAGGAUCGAAGCGGAUCGCGCAAAGGGAGCCGACACGGAGGCGGCUCCUUUCUCGUCGAUAGUUUCAAUGGAGAGUUUUUCUCAUAGAGAGCCACUCGCGUCCCCCUUCUCUCUCUCUUUCUCUCUUCCUUUCUCUCUUUUCCCGUCCCUCUUCGUACCUUCGAGGUACGCGUGUGCACGGAAAACGAUAAAAAAGACGAGAUCUCUCAAAAGGUACGCGGAGCACCGCCUCUGAUGAAUGCCGCAACCAGUUGGCCACCAUGUUUUCCCUCCGCCGGUGUGUGUACGCCCUACUCUCCGAAACAUCCCCUGUGUCGCGUCCCUCCGUGUGCCGACUUCCAACCCCUCGCAAAACCGCGAUUGAACCCUUGUACAUCCAGCGCGUAAUACUGCGUACUAUGGCAUACAGAGGUGAUUUUACGUGCGCUUUGUGAGCGACGAAUAAGUUGGUACAGUUGUCGAGCAAUGCUGCAAAAAUGUACAUUAAUAAAUUGCAUUUGCAACGA